UGCAAGUCGAGCGGACAGAAGGGAGCUUGCUCCCGGAUGUUAGCGGCGGACGGGUGAGUAACACGUGGGUAACCUGCCUGUAAGACUGGGAUAACUCCGGGAAACCGGAGCUAAUACCGGAUAGUUCCUUGAACCGCAUGGUUCAAGGAUGAAAGACGGUUUCGGCUGUCACUUACAGAUGGACCCGCGGCGCAUUAGCUAGUUGGUGGGGUAAUGGCUCACCAAGGCAACGAUGCGUAGCCGACCUGAGAGGGUGAUCGGCCACACUGGGACUGAGACACGGCCCAGACUCCUACGGGAGGCAGCAGUAGGGAAUCUUCCGCAAUGGACGAAAGUCUGACGGAGCAACGCCGCGUGAGUGAUGAAGGUUUUCGGAUCGUAAAGCUCUGUUGUUAGGGAAGAACAAGUGCGAGAGUAACUGCUCGCACCUUGACGGUACCUAACCAGAAAGCCACGGCUAACUACGUGCCAGCAGCCGCGGUAAUACGUAGGUGGCAAGCGUUGUCCGGAAUUAUUGGGCGUAAAGGGCUCGCAGGCGGUUUCUUAAGUCUGAUGUGAAAGCCCCCGGCUCAACCGGGGAGGGUCAUUGGAAACUGGGAAACUUGAGUGCAGAAGAGGAGAGUGGAAUUCCACGUGUAGCGGUGAAAUGCGUAGAGAUGUGGAGGAACACCAGUGGCGAAGGCGACUCUCUGGUCUGUAACUGACGCUGAGGAGCGAAAGCGUGGGGAGCGAACAGGAUUAGAUACCCUGGUAGUCCACGCCGUAAACGAUGAGUGCUAAGUGUUAGGGGGUUUCCGC
rnacentral:rRNA from 1 species